GAACAAACAAAGGAACACAGUGGGGCACCGCCUUGGAACGGUCAGUGGCAAAAACACCACUGGGGAGCUUAAACCACCCUUAUCUGAUCUGCAUAUACUUGAACAACUGAGUUGUCAAGCUGGUUCUUAAUAAGGACCUACCUAAAGGCAGAACUUGUAAAUUCUGACCCUCGGUCAUGAAUUAUCUGGAGAGGACAUCCAUAUCUAGGAUAUAUCUCAUUCAAAAAUUCUGGUGGUCGUGAAAAGAAAUCAGCAAUAACAUUUGCCUUUCCUCGAAGAUACUCUAUCUUACAGUUGUAACCACUAAUAGACAAUGCCCAUAACUGAAUGUUUUUGUUUUGCAUUGGACUUUUUAAUAAAUACUGGAGCGGAGAAUGGUCGCAUUUGAUUGUAAAUUCAGCACUGUGUAAAAAGAAAUCUAAACGUUGCAAAGAAUAAAAAAUGACGUACGCCUCCUUCUCAAUAGUGCUGUAUUUCUUUUGUGUUUCACUUAGUUUAUGAGACAGAAAACAUAUAGGUCUUUCUUUAUUUUCAUCUGAUUCUGGUGAAUUACACGCUUGAGUUAAGCACGCUGCCACAUGACUAUCGCUGGCAUCGGUGUACAAUGUAUACGGCUUGUUUGAAUCUGGGUAGGACAAGAAGGGGAUAGCUAUUAAUUGUUCUUUAAUUUUCUCAAAACUUUUCUGUCAUUCUUCUGUCCAAAUAAAUGGAGACUUUUUCCUUGUAAAGUUAAUAAGAGGUUCUGCUAUUUCUGAAAGUGAGGGGAUGAACCGACGAUAAAAUGAGGUGCCCCGAUUAUUUUUCGACCUUCACACACAUUUUUUGGAACCGGAAGUGACCUAAUAGCUUUAACUUUAUUAGGGUUUGGUCUGAUGCCAUCUUCGUCUAUGACAAAACCUAAGUAUUCGGUUUUAGGCUGCAUGAAUUGACACUUUUUUAACUUAAGUUUAAGUUUAUGCUCUCUUAACCUUUGAAAAAUAAUGUCUAAGUGGCGUUUAUGUUCUUCUAAUGUUUUACUAAAGAUGAGGCAGUCGUUCAAGUGUGCGACAGCAAAAUCUAGAUCCUCUAAGAUUUUAGACAUUAGUUCCUGGAACACCCC
rnacentral:lncRNA from 1 species